GACGAACGCUGGCGGCGUGCUUAACACAUGCAAGUCGAACGAUGAAGCCGGAGCUUGCUCUGGUGAAUUAGUGGCGAACGGGUGAGUAACACGUGAGUAACCUGCCCUUGACUCUGGGAUAACUGCGGGAAACUGUAGCUAAUACCGGAUACGACCCUCGGAGGCAUCUCCUGGGGGUGGAAAGAAUUUCGGUCAAGGAUGGACUCGCGGCCUAUCAGCUAGUUGGUGAGGUAAAGGCUCACCAAGGCGACGACGGGUAGCCGGCCUGAGAGGGUGACCGGCCACACUGGGACUGAGACACGGCCCAGACUCCUACGGGAGACAGCAGUGGGGAAUAUUGCACAAUGGGCGCAAGCCUGAUGCAGCAACGCCGCGUGAGGGAUGACGGCCUUCGGGUUGUAAACCUCUUUUAGCAGGGAAGAAGCGAAAGUGACGGUACCUGCAGAAAAAGCACCGGCUAACUACGUGCCAGCCGCCGCCGUAA
rnacentral:rRNA from 1 species